rnacentral:rRNA from 1 species
CCCAGACUCCUACGGGAGGCAGCAGUGGGGGAUAUUGCACAAUGGGGGGAACCCUGAUGCAGCGACGCCGCGUGGGUGAAGGAGCGUUUCGGCGCGUAAAGCCCUAUCGGCAGGGAAGAAGGAGGACGGUACCUGACUAAGAAGCCCCGGCUAACUACGUGCCAGCAGCCGCGGUAAUACGUAGGGGGCAAGCGUUAUCCGGAUUUACUGGGUGUAAAGGGGGCGCAGACGGCAGCGCAAGCCAGGAGUGAAAUCCCAAGGCUCAACCUUGGAACUGCAUUUGAAACUGUUGGUCUUGAGUAUCGGAGAGGCAGGCGGAAUUCCUAGUGUAGCGGUGAAAUGCGUAGAUAUUAGGAGGAACACCAGUGGCGAAGGCGGCCUGCUGGACGAUGACUGACGUUGAGGCUCGAAAGCGUGGGGAGCAAACAGGAGUAGAUACCCUAGUA